CAGUAGCCGCGGUAAUACGAAGGGUGCAAGCGUUACUCGGAAUUACUGGGCGUAAAGCGUGUGUAGGUGGUUGUUUAGGUCUGUCGUGAAAGCCCUGGGCUCAACCUGGGAAUUGCGAUGGAUACUGGGCGACUAGAGUGCGGUAGAGGAUAGUGGAAUUUCCGGUGUAGCAGUGAAAUGCGUAGAGAUCGGAAGGAACAUCUGUGGCGAAGGCGACUAUCUGGGCCAACACUGACACUGAGACACGAAAGCGUGGGGAGCAAACAGGAUUAGAUACCCCGGUAGUCCCUGUCUCUUAUAC
rnacentral:rRNA from 1 species